CCUACGGGAGGCAGCAGUGAGGAAUAUUGGUCAAUGGGCGGGAGCCUGAACCAGCCAAGCCGCGUGAGGAAGAAGGUACAGCGUAUCGUAAACCUCCUUUGUCAGGGAACAAAGGCGGGGACUAGUCCCCGGAUGAGGGUACCUGAAGAAAAAGCCUCGGCUAACUCCGUGCCAGCCGCCUCGGUAAUACGGGGGAUGCGAACGUUUUCCGGGUUUAUUGGGGUUUAAGGGGGCGCAGGCGGCCUGUUAAGUCAGCGGUAAAAGCCCGGGGGUCAACCCCGGCGAGCCGUUGAAACUGGCGGGCUGGAGUUGGAGAGAAGUACGCGGAAUGCGCGGUGUAGCGGUGAAAUGCUUAGAUAUCGCGCAGAACCCCGAUUGCGAAGGCAGCGUACCGGCUCCACACUGACGCUGAGGCACGAAAGCGUGGGUAUCGAACAGGAUUAGAUACCCCAGUAGUC
rnacentral:rRNA from 1 species